rnacentral:rRNA from 1 species
GAUGAACGCUGACAGAAUGCUUAACACAUGCAAGUCAACUUGAAUUUGGGUUUUUAACUUAGAUUUGGGUGGCGAACGGGUGAGUAACGCGUAAAGAACUUGCCUCACAGCUAGGGACAACAUUUAGAAAUGAAUGCUAAUACCUGAUAUUAUGAUUUUAAGGCAUCUUAGAAUUAUGAAAGCUAUAAGCACUGUGAGAGAGCUUUGCGUCCCAUUAGCUAGUUGGAGAGGUAACAGCUCACCAAGGCGAUGAUGGGUAGCCGGCCUGAGAGGGUGAACGGCCACAAGGGGACUGAGACACGGCCCUUACUCCUACGGGAGGCAGCAGUGGGGAAUAUUGGACAAUGGACCGAGAGUCUGAUCCAGCAAUUCUGUGUGCACGAUGAAGUUUUUCGGAAUGUAAAGUGCUUUCAGUUGGGAAGAAAUAAAUGACGGUACCAACAGAAGAAGUGACGGCUAAAUACGUGCCAGCAGCCGCGGUAAUACGUAUGUCACGAGCGUUAUCCGGAUUUAUUGGGCGUAAAGCGCGUCUAGGUGGUUAUGUAAGUCUGAUGUGAAAAUGCAGGGCUCAACUCUGUAUUGCGUUGGAAACUGUAUAACUAGAGUACUGGAGAGGUAAGCGGAACUACAAGUGUAGAGGUGAAAUUCGUAGAUAUUUGUAGGAAUGCCGAUGGGGAAGCCAGCUUACUGGACAGAUACUGACGCUGAAGCGCGAAAGCGUGGGUAGCAAACAGG